CGCUACCAUGCAGUCGAACGGUGAUGUCAGAGCUUGCUCUGGCGGAUCAGUGGCGAACGGGUGAGUAACACGUGAGUAACCUGCCCCCGACUCUGGGAUAACUGCUAGAAAUGGUAGCUAAUACCGGAUAUGACGAUUGGCCGCAUGGUCUGGUCGUGGAAAGAAUUUCGGUUGGGGAUGGACUCGCGGCCUAUCAGGUUGUUGGUGAGGUAAUGGCUCACCAAGCCUACGACGGGUAGCCGGCCUGAGAGGGUGACCGGCCACACUGGGACUGAGACACGGCCCAGACUCCUACGGGAGGCAGCAGUGGGGAAUAUUGCACAAUGGGCGAAAGCCUGAUGCAGCAACGCCGCGUGAGGGAUGACGGCCUUCGGGUUGUAAACCUCUUUUAGUAGGGAAGAAGCGAAAGUGACGGUACCUGCAGAAAAAGCACCGGCUAACUACGUGCCAGCAGCCGCGGUAAUACGUAGGGUGCAAGCGUUGUCCGGGAAUUAUUGGGCGUAAAGAGCUCGUAGGCGGUUUGUCGCGUCUGCUGUGAAAUCCCGAGGCUCAACCUCGGGUCUGCAGUGGGUACGGGCAGACUAGAGUGCGGUAGGGGAGAUUGGAAUUCCUGGUGUAGCGGUGGAAUGCGCAGAUAUCAGGAGGAACACCGAUGGCGAAGGCAGAUCUCUGGGCCGUAACUGACGCUGAGGAGCGAAAGCAUGGGGAGCGAACAGGAUUAGAUACCCUGGUAGUCCAUGCCGUAAACGUUGGGAACUAGAUGUGGGGACCAUUCCACGGUCUCCGUGUCGCAGCUAACGCAUUAAGUUCCCCGCCUGGGGAGUACGGCCGCAAGGCUAAAACUCAAAGGAAUUGACGGGGGCCCGCACAAGCGGCGGAGCAUGCGGAUUAAUUCGAUGCAACGCGAAGAACCUUACCAAGGCUUGACAUAUACCGGAAACAUGCAGAAAUGUGUGCCCCGCAAGGUCGGUAUACAGGUGGUGCAUGGUUGUCGUCAGCUCGUGUCGUGAGAUGUUGGGUUAAGUCCCGCAACGAGCGCAACCCUCGUUCUAUGUUGCCAGCACGUAAUGGUGGGAACUCAUAGGAGACUGCCGGGGUCAACUCGGAGGAAGGUGGGGAUGACGUCAAAUCAUCAUGCCCCUUAUGUCUUGGGCUUCACGCAUGCUACAAUGGCCGGUACAAAGGGCUGCGAUACCGUAAGGUGGAGCGAAUCCCAAAAAGCCGGUCUCAGUUCGGAUUGAGGUCUGCAACUCGACCUCAUGAAGUCGGAGUCGCUAGUAAUCGCAGAUCAGCAACGCUGCGGUGAAUACGUUCCCGGGCCUUGUACACACCGCCCGUCAAGUCAUGAAAGUCGGUAACACCCGAAGCCAGUGGCCUAACCGCAAGGGAGGAGCUUCGAAGGUGGA
rnacentral:rRNA from 1 species